AUCCGCGUGAGUGAAGAAGGCCUUCGGGUUGUAAAGCUCUUUCGCAAGGGAAGAAAACUUAUGAUCGAAUAAAUCAUGAGGUUGACGGUACCUUGAUAAGAAGCACCGGCUAACUACGUGCCAGCAGCCGCGGUAAUACGUAGGGUGCGAGCGUUAAUCGGAAUUACUGGGCGUAAAGCGUGCGCAGGCGGUUUUGUAAGUCGGAUGUGAAAUCCCCGGGCUCAACCUGGGAACUGCGUUCGAAACUGCAAGGCUAGAGUGUGUCCGAGGGGGGUAGAAUUCCACGUGUAGCAGUGAAAUGCGUAAAGAUGUGGAGGAAUACCAAUGGCGAAGGCAGCCCCCUGGGAUAACACUGACGCUCAUGCACGAAAGCGUGGGGAGCAAACAGGAUUAGAUACCCUGGUAGUCCACGCCCUAAACGAUGUCAACUAGUUGUUGGUAGAGUAAAAUCUAUGAGUAACGUAGCUAACGCGUGAAGUUGACCGCCUGGGGAGUACGGUCGCAAGAUUAAAACUCAAAGGAAUUGACGGGGGCCCGAACAAGCGGUGGAUUAUGUGGAUUAAUUCGAUGCAACGCGAAAAAACUUUACCU
rnacentral:rRNA from 1 species